rfam:Emmonsia pasteuriana TAMH 9510 supercont1.136, whole genome shotgun sequence.
GGGCAAUUGGUUUAGUGGUAUAAUACCCCCUUAGCAAACCGUUUCCGGCGCUGUAAACAAUUGGGGGUGGUCGGGAGUUCGAUUCUCCCAUUGUCCA